rnacentral:rRNA from 1 species
UACGUAGGGUGCGAGCGUUGUCCGGAAUUAUUGGGCGUAAAGGGCUCGUAGGCGGUUUGUCACGUCGGGAGUGAAAACUCAGGGCUUAACCCUGAGCCUGCUUUCGAUACGGGCAGACUAGAGGUAUGCAGGGGAGAACGGAAUUCCUGGUGUAGCGGUGAAAUGCGCAGAUAUCAGGAGGAACACCGGUGGCGAAGGCGGGUCUCUGGGCCGAUAUUGACGCUGAGGAGCGAAAGCGUGGGGAGCGAACAGG